rnacentral:rRNA from 2 species
ACGGGGCGCAGCAGGCGCGAAAACUUUACAAUGCUGGCAACAGCGAUAAGGGAACCUCGAGUGCCAGGUUACAAAUCUGGCUGUCGAGAUGCCUAAAAAGCAUUUCAUAGCAAGGGCCGGGCAAGACCGGUGCCAGCCGCCGCGGUAACACCGGCGGCUCGAGUGGUAACCGUUAUUAUUGGGUCUAAAGGGUCUGUAGCCGGCCGGAUAAGUCUCUUGAGAAAUCUGGCAGCUUAACUGUCAGGCUUUCAGGAGAUACUGUCUGGCUCGAGGCCGGGAGAGGUGAGAGGUACUUCAGGGGUAGGGGUGAAAUCUUGUAAUCCUUGAAGGACCACCAGUGGCGAAGGCGUCUCACCAGAACGGACCUGACGGCAAGGGACGAAAGCUAGGGGCACGAACCGGAUUAGAUACCCGUGUAGUCC